rnacentral:rRNA from 1 species
ACGGCUCAGUAACACGUGGAUAACCUGCCCUUGGGUCCGGCAUAACCCCGGGAAACUGGGGAUAAUUCCGGAUAACGCACAUAUGCUGGAAUGCUUUAUGCGUAAAAUGGAUUCGUCUGCCCAAGGAUGGGUCUGCGGCCUAUCAGGUAGUAGUGGGUGUAAUGUACCUACUAGCCUACGACGGGUACGGGUUGUGAGAGCAAGAGCCCGGAGAUGGAUUCUGAGACAUGAAUCCAGGCCCUACGGGGCGCAGCAGGCGCGAAAACUUUACAAUGCGGGAAACCGUGAUAAGGGGACACCGAGUGCCAGCAUCCUAUGCUGGCUGUCCGGGUGUGUAAAAUACACCUGUUAGCAAGGGCCGGGCAAGACCGGUGCCAGCCGCCGCGGUAACACCGGCGGCCCGAGUGGUGAUCGUGAUUAUUGGGUCUAAAGGGUCCGUAGCCGGUUUGGUCAGUCCUCCGGGAAAUCUGACAGCUUAACUGUUAGGCUUUCGGAGGAUACUGCCAGACUUGGAACCGGGAGAGGUAAGAGGUACUACAGGGGUAGGAGUGAAAUCUUGUAAUCCCUGUGGGACCACCUGUGGCGAAGGCGUCUUACCAGAACGGGUUCGACGGUGAGGGACGAAAGCUGGGGGCACGAACCGGAUUAGAUACCCGGGUAGUCCCAGCCGUAAACGAUGCUCGCUAGGUGUCAGGCAUGGCGCGACCGUGUCUGGUGCCGCAGGGAAGCCGUGAAGCGAGCCACCUGGGAAGUACGGCCGCAAGGCUGAAACUUAAAGGAAUUGGCGGGGGAGCAC